GGGGAUGUGGCCCAGUGGUAGAGCACUUGCCUACUUGUACAAGCCCCUGGGUGGAACCCAGGGCACCCCCA
rnacentral:tRNA from 1 species